AUUGAACGCUGGCGGCAGGCCUAACACAUGCAAGUCGAACGCGUGGCGGACGGGUGAGUAAUGUCUGGGAAACUGCCUGAUGGAGGGGGAUAACUACUGGAAACGGUAGCUAAUAACGCAUACUAUCCGAUGAGCCUAGGUCGGAUUAGCUAGUUGGGGGGGUAAAGGCCGACGAAGGCGAAGAUCCGUAACUGGUCUGAGAGGAUGAACAGUCACACUGGAACUGAGACACGGUCCAGACUCCUACGGGAGGCAGCAGUGGGGAAUAUGGCACAAUGGGCGCAAGCCUGAUGCAGCCAUGCCGCGUGUAUGAAGAAGGCCUGCGGGUUGUAAAGUACUUUCAGCGGGGAGGCGUUACCCGAAGAAGAAGCACCGGCGAACUCCGUGCCAGCCGCCGCGGUAAUUC
rnacentral:rRNA from 1 species